CUCAUAAGGUGCUGAAGGAGUAAAGAACCAAUGAGCUUGGUGAUCAUAAUAACUUUACGGAUCGCAUCUCUGAUGCGACAUAUCAUUCAAGUUUCUGACCUAUCAGCUUUAGACGGUAGGGUAUUGGCCUACCGUGGCUAUGACGGGUAACGGGGAAUUAGGGUUCGAUUCCGGAGAGGGAGCCUGAGAAACGGCUACCACAUCUAAGAAAGGCAGCAGGCGCGCAAAUUACCCAAUCCUGACACAGGGAGGUAGUGACAAGAAAUAACAAUACAGGGCCUAACGGUCUUGUAAUUGGAAUGAGUGAAGUAUAAACCCCUUUACGAGUAUCAAUUGGAGGGCAAGUCUGGUGCCAGCAGCCGCGGUAAUUCCAGCUCCAAUAGCGUAUAUUAAAGUUGUUGCAGUUAAAAAGCUCGUAGUUGGAUUUCUGUUGUAUAAUUUAUAAUAUUACCAAGGUAAUUAUUAUAUUAUCAACAUCCUUCCUAUUAUAUUCUAAAUAUAUAGGAAAUUUUACUUUGAGAAAAUUAGAGUGCUUAAAGCAGGCAACUGCCUUGAAUACUCCAGCAUGGAAUAAUAAGUAAGGACUUUUGUCUUUCUUAUUGGUUCUAGGACAAAAGUAAUGGUUAAUAGGGACAGUUGGGGGCAUUCGUAUUUAACAGCCAGAGGUGAAAUUCUUAGAUUUGUUAAAGACGAACUACUGCGAAAGCAUUUGCCAAGGAUGUUUUCAUUAAUCAAGAACGAAAGUUAGGGGAUCGAAGACGAUCAGAUACCGUCGUAGUCUUAACCAUAAACUAUGCCGACUAGAGAUUGGAGGUUCUUUAUCUAAUAAAUACAACCCUUCC
rnacentral:rRNA from 1 species